rnacentral:ribozyme from 12 species
AAAAAAAAAGAAAAAAUCAAAUCAAAUCUUUUUUUUACAGAUGAAAGGUACCAGAUGUCGCUUUUUUUUUUUUUUUUUUUUCCCUUUUUUUUGCUC